rnacentral:rRNA from 1 species
CCUACGGGAGGCUGCAGUGAGGAAUAUUGGUCAAUGGACGAGAGUCUGAACCAGCCACGUAGCGUGAAGGAUGACUGCCCUCUGGGUUGAAAACUUCUUUUAUAUGGGAAUAAAAUGUUCCACGUGUGGGAUUUUGUCUGUACCAUAUGAAUAGGGAUCGGCUAACUCCGUGCCAGCAGCCGAGGUAAUACGGAGGAUCCGAGCGUUUUCCGGAUUUAUUGGGUUUAAAGGGAGCGUAGGAGGAUUGUUAAGUCAGUUGUGAAAGUUUGCGGCUCAACCGUAAAAUUGCAGUUGAAACUGGCAGUCUUGAGUACAGUAGAGGUGGGCGGAAUUCGUGGUGUAGCGGUGAAAUGCUUAGAUAUCACGAAGAACUCCGAUUGCGAAGGCAGUUCACUGGACUGCAACUGACACUGAGGCUCGAAAGUGUGGGUAUCAAACAGGAUUAGAUACCCCUGUAGUC